GACGAACCGUGCGAACGUUAUUCGGAAUCACUGGGCUUAAAGCGCGUGUAGGCGGGCGGGGACGUCGGCGACUGAAAGCCCCCGGCUCAACCGGGGAAGGGGUGCCGAAACGGCCGGCCUGGAGGGGCGUAGGGGGACCUGGAACUUCCGGUGGAGCGGUGAAAUGCGUUGAGAUCGGAAGGAACGCCCGUGGCGAAAGCGAGGUCCUGGACGCCAACUGACGCUGAGACGCGAAAGCCAGGGGAGCGAACGGG
rnacentral:rRNA from 1 species